GUUGCCCUAAUUACUUAAAAGAAAACAAACAAAGAAAGAUAGAAACUUACCUGCGGCGUUGAGACGAGAGCACGGUGUGUGAGGGUGGAAACGUUUUGAGACAUUGACGAAAGAAAAGACAUUGGUGGAUUAGUUUGCUUGAUUGCGGUUCUUCGGUUGAGCGAGUGUUCCACAGACUUCGACUCGACCUCAGCUCUAGUCAGUCUCAAGAUCAUCGGAUUUCAGGGUGAGCUAUCCUUCUAGCUGCGUGAUGGAUUUUCUCGGUUAUGGCAUAGUGUCUUUAGUUUUCAGACACAUUUAUUUAAUUGUUCAUUUUGGUGCUUAAUGUUCCAGACUUAGUUUUAGAAAUUAGAUGUCCUUAAUGUGAUGACUUUCAGAUUUUGGGGAAAAAUAUAUUUAUUUGAGUUUCCGCGUUAUUGUUAUUAGUUGGGGUUUGUAUCGUUGGUUCUCCCACCCAGAAGGUUAAGUGUGGGUGCCACUCACGGCCCAUUUUGGGUCGUGACAAACUUGGUAUCAGAGCUUUAGGUUCAUUGAUCUCAUCACACAAGGACAGGUCUAGUAGAGUCUUGCG